rnacentral:rRNA from 1 species
GACGGAGGGUGCUAGCGUUGUUCGGAAUUACUGGGCGUAAAGGGCGCGUAGGCGGCCUGGUCAGUCGGAUGUGAAAGCCCGGGGCUCAACCCCGGAACGGCAUCCGAGACGGCCAGGCUGGAGACCGGGAGAGGAGAGUGGAAUAGCCAGUGUAGAGGUGAAAUUCGUAGAUAUUGGCUGGAACACCGGUGGCGAAGGCGGCUCUCUGGCCCGGUUCUGACGCUGAGGCGCGAAAGCCAGGGGAGCAAACGGG